AUGAACGCUAGCGACAGGCUAACACAUGCAAGUCGAGGGCGAACAGGGUAGCAAUACCGCUGACGACCGGCGCACGGGUGAGUAACGCGUAUGCAACCUGCCUAUAACUGGGGAAUAGCUCCCUGAAAGGGGAAUUAACACCGCAUAACACUAUUGAUUCGCAUGGAUUAGUAGUUAAAUGUAGCGAUACAGGUUAUAGAUGGGCAUGCGUGACAUUAGCUAGUUGGUGAGGUAACGGCUCACCAAGGCUACGAUGUCUAGGGGUUCUGAGAGGAAGGUCCCCCCACACUGGUACUGAGACACGGACCAGACUCCUACGGGAGGCAGCAGUGAGGAAUAUUGGUCAAUGGGCGCAAGCCUGAACCAGCCAUGUCGCGUGCAGGAAGAACCUGCCCUAUGGGUUGUAAACUGCUUUUAUAGUAGAAGAAACACAUCUACGCGUAGAUGUCUGCCAGUAUACUAUGAAUAAGCAUCGGCUAACUCCGUGCCAGCCGCCGC
rnacentral:rRNA from 1 species